CAGGCCUAACACAUGCAAGUCGAGGGGCAGCGGGAGUAGCAAUACUUGCCGGCGACCGGCGCACGGGUGCGUAACACGUAUGUAAUCUACCCUUUACUGGAGAAUAGCCCGAAGAAAUUCGGAUUAAUGCUCCAUAAUAUCAUUGGAAGGCAUCUUUUGAUGAUUAAAGUUCCGACGGUAAAGGAUGAGCAUGCGCGAUAUUAGCUAGUUGGUGAGGUAACGGCUCACCAAGGCGACGAUAUCUAGGGGUACUGAGAGGUUACACCCCCACACUGGUACCGAGACACGGACCAGACUCCUACGGGAGGCAGCAGUAAGGAAUAUUGGACAAUGGUCGCAAGACUGAUCCAGCCAUGCCGCGUGCAGGAUGAAUGCCCUAUGGGUUGUAAACUGCUUCUUAUACGGGAAUAAACCCGGGUACGUGUACCCGGCUGAAUGUACCGUAAGAAUAAGGGUCGGCUAACUUCGUGCCAGCAGCCGCGGUAAGACGAAGGACCCAAGCGUUAUCCGGAUUCAUUGGGUUUAAAGGGUGCGUAGGCGGGUUGAUAAGUCAGUGGUGAAAGCCCAACGCUUAACGUUGGAACUGCCAUUGAUACUGUCGAUCUUGAAUGUGUUUGAUGUGGGCGGAAUAUGACAUGUAGCGGUGAAAUGCUUAGAUAUGUCAUAGAACACCGAUUGCGAAGGCAGCUCACAAAACCACUAUUGACGCUGAGGCACGAAAGCGUGGGGAUCAAACAGGAUUAGGUACCCUGGUAGUCCACGCCGUAAACUUUGAUCACUCGCUGUUGGCGAUACACUGUCAGCGGCUAAGCGAAAGCGUUAAGUGAUCCACCUGGGGAGUGCGAUCGCAAGAUUGAAACUCAAAGGAAUUGACGGGGGCCCGCACAAGCGGUGGAGCAUGUGGUUUAAUUCGAUGAUACGCGAGGAACCUUACCAGGACUUGAACGCAUUUUGACAGAUCAGGAAACUGGUCGUUCUUCGGACAAUUUGCGAGGUGCUGCAUGGCUGUCGUCAGCUCGUGCCGUGAGGUGUUGGGUUAAGUCCCGCAACGAGCGCAACCCCUAUUCUUAGUUACCAGCGAGUAAAGUCGGGGACUCUAAGAAAACUGCCGGCGCAAGCCGCGAGGAAGGUGGGGACGACGUCAAGUCAUCACGGCCCUUACGUCCUGGGCCACACACGUGCUACAAUGGCAGGUACAGAGGGCAGCUACACCGCGAGGUGAUGCAAAUCUCAAAAACCUGUCUCAGUUCGGAUCGAAGUCUGAAACUCGACUUCGUGAAGCUGGAAUCGCUAGUAAUCGCGCAUCAGCUAUGGCGCGGUGAAUACGUUCCCGGGCCUUGUACACACCGCCC
rnacentral:rRNA from 1 species